AUUGGCUCAGAUGGUAGAGCGACUGAUUCGUAAUCAGUAGGUCGGGGGUUCAAGUCCCCCA
rnacentral:tRNA from 1 species